CGCUCCGCGCUGGAGCUGUCGGUCCCUGAGGCGCCGGGAGCGGGGGCGGCCGGCGGUUGUACCCGUUACGUGGGGACGGGGAGGAGGGAUGGAGGUCUAGGGGAAUGACACCUUCUCCUCGGGUAGAGACCGGAGUCGGUUACAGAGGGCAGUGACAUCUUCCCUUCAGGCAGAGACCAGGAGAGGGGUUCAGGUGGCAGUAGUGGCAUCUUCGCCUCAGGCAGAGGCCGGGAGAAGGUUCGUGGGGAAUAGCGCCUUCCCCUCAGGCAGAGGCCGGGGGAAAGUUCGUGGGGAAUAGCGCCUUCCCCUCAGGCAGAGACCCGAAGAGGGGUACAAAAGGAAAUGGCACUUUUGCCUCAGGAGGGAUAUUGCACAUAUCCAUGAAGUGACUGAUACAAGCACUGCACAGAUGCUCAGAAAAAAUGGAGACCAUUCUCCACUGACAGACACCCCUUGAGAGCUGGCAGACACCAUGGAGUUGUUGCAGUGGGGAUGGGAAGAAAAUGAAUAUAAUCUGCACAAGAAGAGAGUUCAUCAGAGAGGAGGAAUUUUAAUGGAAGAGGGCUAGGAACACUGAGUCUCUACAGCUUCUUGCUCUUGAGGUUGGUGCCACUGCAUCUGCUUGGGCCAAGUUGAAUGAAGUGACAUGGAAGGACAGAGUCCUGCUCCCAGGUAACCCUGCCCAACACCAGGACUCAGCUCAGGGAAGAGGCAUUUGCUCAGCCUCCUGUAUACUGUACUAUUUACACAGCCAUUGGUUGCAUCCCAUUGCCAGCUGGACAGGUGAUGGGGGUGUUUUUGACACAAGGGACUCUCCCACUGGUACCAUUUAAAAAAAUACAAUUAAUACUUUUUUUAAACUCAUUUCCUUUCCUGAUUCCUUUCACUGUCCUUGCAAAUACAGCAACAUUUGAUUUACAACCACGUACACAAAGAGAUCAAACCUCCACAUUUGCCUGGAUUUAACCACCUCACACAGCAGGGAA